rfam:Myotis lucifugus cont2.50271, whole genome shotgun sequence.
GCCGGUGUAGCUCAGUAGAUAGAGUGUCGGCCUGCGGACCGAAGGGUCCUGGGUUCCAUUCCGGUCACAGGCU